UACAGAGGGUGCGAGCGUUAAUCGGAGUGACUGGGCGUAAAGGGCGCGUAGGCGGUUAGAUUAGUCUGAUGUGAAAGACCUGGGCUUAACCUGGGAGUUGCAUUGGAAACGGUCUGGCUAGAGUUUGAGAGAGGGAAGUGGAAUUUCCGGUGUAGCGGUGAAAUGCGUAGAGAUCGGAAAGAACAUUCGUGGCGAAGGCGACUUUCUGGCUCAAAACUGACGCUGAGGCGCGACAGCGUGGGGAGCAAACAGG
rnacentral:rRNA from 1 species